CCCUUAGAUGUCCGGGGCUGCACGCGCGCUGCACUGAAGGAAUCAGCGUGCUAAAACCAUUGUCGAAAGGCAUUGGUAAACCCAUUAAAAUCCUACGUGAUUGGGAUCGGGAAUUGCAAUUAUUUCCCUUGAACGAGGAAUUCCCAGUAAGUGUGGGUCAUAAGCUCGCGUUGAUUACGUCCCUGCCCUUUGUACACACCGCCCGUCGCUGCCCGGGACUGAGCCGUUUCGAGAAAAGCGGGGACUGCUGCUGUCGGGGCUUUCGGGCCUUGGCUUCGGUGGAAACCGCUUUAAUCGCAGUGGCUUGAACCGGGCAAAAGUCGUAACA
rnacentral:rRNA from 1 species